rnacentral:rRNA from 1 species
UUGAACGCUGGCGGCAGGCCUAACACAUGCAAGUCGAGCGGAUGAAGGGAGCUUGCUCCUGGAUUCAGCGGCGGACGGGUGAGUAAUGCCUAGGAAUCUGCCUGGUAGUGGGGGAUAACGUCCGGAAACGGGCGCUAAUACCGCAUACGUCCUGAGGGAGAAAGUGGGGGAUCUUCGGACCUCACGCUAUCAGAUGAGCCUAGGUCGGAUUAGCUAGUUGGUGGGGUAAAGGCCUACCAAGGCGACGAUCCGUAGCUGGUCUGAGAGGAUGAUCAGUCACACUGGAACUGAGACACGGUCCAGACUCCUACGGGAGGCAGCAGUGGGGAAUAUUGGACAAUGGGCGAAAGCCUGAUCCAGCCAUGCCGCGUGUGUGAAGAAGGUCUUCGGAUUGUAAAGCACUUUAAGUUGGGAGGAAGGGCAGUAAGUUAAUACCUUGCUGUUUUGACGUUACCAACAGAAUAAGCACCGGCUAACUUCGUG